rnacentral:rRNA from 1 species
GACGAACGCUGGCGGCGUGCCUAAUACAUGCAAGUAGAACGCUGAAGGAGGAGCUUGCUUCUCUGGAUGAGUUGCGAACGGGUGAGUAACGCGUAGGUAACCUGCCUGGUAGCGGGGGAUAACUAUUGGAAACGAUAGCUAAUACCGCAUAAGAGUAGAUGUUGCAUGACAUUUGCUUAAAAGGUUCAAUUGCAUCACUACCAGAUGGACCUGCGUUGUAUUAGCUAGUUGGUGGGGUAACGGCUCACCAAGGCGACGAUACAUAGCCGACCUGAGAGGGUGAUCGGCCACACUGGGAGUGAGACACGGCCCAGACUCCUACGGGAGGCAGCAGUAGGGAAUCUUCGGCAAUGGACGGAAGUCUGACCGAGCAACGCGGCGUGAGUGAAGAAGGACUUCGGAUCGUAAAGCUCUGUUGUAAGAGAAGAACGAGUGUGAGAGUGGAAAGUUCACACUGUGACGGUAUCUUACCAGAAAGGGACGGCUAACUACGUG